rnacentral:rRNA from 1 species
GGUCAGCGACUUAUAUUCUGUAGCAAGGUUAACCGUAUAGGGGAGCCGGAGGGAAACCGAGUCUUAACCGGGCGUUAAGUUGCAGGGUAUAGACCCGAAACCCGGUGAUCUAGCCAUGGGCAGGUUGAAGGUUGGGUAACACUAACUGGAGGACCGAACCGACUAAUGUUGAAAAAUUAGCGGAUGACCUGUGGCUGGGGGUGAAAGGCCAAUCAAACCGGGAGAUAGCUGGUUCUCCCCGAAAGCUAUUUAGGUAGCGCCUCGUGAAUUCAUCUCCGGGGGUAGAGCACUGUUUCGGCUAGGGGGCCAUCCCGGCUUACCAACCCGAUGCAAACUGCGAAUACCGGAGAAUGUUAUCACGGGAGACACACGGCGGGUGCUAACGUCCGUCGUGAAGAGGGAAACAACCCAGACCGCCAGCUAAGGUCCCAAAGUCAUGGUUAAGUGGGAAACGAUGUGGGAAGGCCCAGACAGCCAGGAUGUUGGCUUAGAAGCAGCCAUCAUUUAAAGAAAGCGUAAUAGCUCACUGGUCGAGUCGGCCUGCGCGGAAGAUGUAACGGGGCUAAACCAU